GGAGCCGCCCAGGUCCCCCCGGGCGUCGAUGAAUGUGGGGUACCAUUCCUUGAUGAUGUGGUCAUGUUUGUAGUCGGCCUUAUUGUCCUUUAGAUGUUCCACGGUGUUCCGCUCGCUCUUCUCAUAGGCCUCCCGGGGCUUCCGGACAGACACCUUGCAUUCUCGGACCUUGUUGACGAUGAAUUCUUGGAUGAGAAACCUGAUAUCUUCCAUGAGAGAUAACUAAACAGCCAUAGGACAGUACAGAACAAAUGUGGGCAAAAGUCAAAUCUACAAAUGAUGAACUCUUCCCUUUAUAUCCAACCCAAUAGUCAUCAUAAAGAAGUCUGAAUAUCUUGGUUGAGAGCUAGACUUUGGAAACAGAGAGACCCUGUAUAAUAACAGACUAAGAAGUAAGGAAGACAAGCCCAGCCAGUCCCACAACUAUUUCAUUAAUACCAGGUAAAGCAACAGACCUGCCAGUGAAG
rnacentral:lncRNA from 10 species